rnacentral:tRNA from 1 species
GCCGGAUUAGCUCAGUUGGUAGAGCACAUCAUUCGUAAUGAUGGGGUCAGAAGUUCGAAUCUUCUAUCCGGCACCA